rnacentral:rRNA from 1 species
UACGUAGGCAGCGAGCGUUGUUCGGAGUUACUGGGCGUAAAGGGUGUGUAGGCGGUUGUUUAAGUUUGGUGUGAAAUCUCCCGGCUCAACUGGGAGGGUGCGCCGAAUACUGAAUGACUUGGAGUGCGGGAGAGGAGAGUGGAAUUCCUGGUGUAGCGGUGGAAUGCGCAGAUAUCAGGAGGAACACCAAUAGCGAAGGCAGCUCGCUGGGACGUUACUGACACUGAGGCGCGAAAGCGUGGGGAGCGAACAGG